rnacentral:rRNA from 6 species
GCGGCGGACGGGUGAGUAACACGUGGGCAACCUGCCCGCAAGACCGGGAUAACUCCGGGAAACCGGAGCUAAUACCGGAUAACACCGAAGACCGCAUGGUCUUUGGUUGAAAGGCGGCCUUUGGCUGUCACUUGCGGAUGGGCCCGCGGCGCAUUAGCUAGUUGGUGAGGUAACGGCUCACCAAGGCGACGAUGCGUAGCCGGCCUGAGAGGGUGACCGGCCACACUGGGACUGAGACACGGCCCAGACUCCUACGGGAGGCAGCAGUAGGGAAUCUUCCGCAAUGGGCGAAAGCCUGACGGAGCGACGCCGCGUGAGCGAAGAAGGCCUUCGGGUCGUAAAGCUCUGUUGUGAGGGACGAAGGAGCGCCGUUCGAAGAGGGCGGCGCGGUGACGGUACCUCACGAGAGAAGCCCCGGCUAACUACGUGCCAGCAGCCGCGGUAAUAC